rnacentral:lncRNA from 1 species
ACCUUCUCCACCCAUGGAGCAGGGAGCCUGCAGGGAACAGCAGCAGGCCAUGGGCACUGCACUGGGACGCGCUCAGCCCUUGUGGGCCUUGCCCAGGGACCGCUUGGCUUGAGCCUCUGGAAGCUUCCAGGCAUGCGCAGAAGACAGAACCCAGAUGAAAGAGAGGCUGAGCCGAUCUCACUACAUCAAAAUGGAAAAACGCUGGAAAUUGCCAGGCAGAAUUGCUUUGAAGGACAUAGAAGGCAAGAACUCAUGGAAACGGAAAGGAGAGAAAUGCUGGCAGAGGAGCUGCUCCAGUGACCUCGGGGGCUGGAGGACUUGGGGACCCCCCCAGCAGCAGGUUGGAG